GACGUAGGGCGCGAGCGUUGUCCGGAUUUAUUGGGCGUAAAGAGCUCGUAGGCGGCUUGUUGCGUCGACUGUGAAAACCUGCGGCUCAACCGUGUGGUCUGCAGUCGAUACGGGCAGGCUGGAGUUCGGUAGGGGAGACUGGAAUUCCUGGUGUAGCGGUGAAAUGCGCAGAUAUCAGGAGGAACACCGGUGGCGAAGGCGGAUCUCUGGGCCGAUACUGACGCUGAGGAGCGAAAGCGUGGGGAGCGAACAGG
rnacentral:rRNA from 1 species